GACUCGCUCGACGGUAUCAUUCGAGGCGCGGAGCCGCGACCCGUUCGCAUCCGACUGUCCGCAAGCGCGGCCGGUCUCCCGACUGUCGGAUCUGAUGCCGGCACCGGGACCGGUCGGCUGCUGGCGGGCAAGUUCUCGGAUAGACUCCGAUCUCACGCCUAUCGGCGACGCUAUAGCUUUGGGUACUCUCAGGACCCGUCUUGAAACACGGACCAAGGAGUCUAGCAUGUGCGCGAGUCAUUGGGACUUGAUUAAACCUACUGGCGAAAUGAAAGUAAAGGCCGCGCUCAGCGCGCGCCAGGGAAGGAAUGGGGAGGCGCACACAGUCGCCUCCCCGCACUCCUGGGGCGUCUCGUUCUCAUUGCGAGAUGAGGCGCACCGAGAGCGCAAAUGCUGGGACCCGAAAGAUGGUGAACUAUGCCUGGUCAGAACGAAGUCAGGGGAAACCCUGAUGGAGGUUCGUAGCGAUUCUGACG
rnacentral:rRNA from 1 species